rnacentral:sRNA from 1 species
UUUUAUUUGUUAAUUUAUUAAUCUUUUGUAGACACGGGGUCUCGCUGUAUUGCCCAGGCUGCUCAUGAACUCCUGGACUCAAGUGACCUUCUUUCCUCAGCCUCCCAAAGUGCUGGGAUUCCACUAGCAGUGAGCCUGAGCCACCACGCCCAGCCAGAUCUCCCCUUCCUGUUGGAAUUCUCUCUUAGGUUUUUGUCUCUAGCAAUGCCUACCAGGUUUCUUUCUUUUUUUUUUUUUUUUUUUUUUUUUGAGACAGAGUCUUGCUCUGUCACCCAGGCUGGAGUGCAAUGGCACAAUCUUGGCUCAUUGCAACCUCCGCCUCCCACCCGGGAGCAAUUCUCCUGCCUCAGCCUUCCAAGCAGCUGGGGCUACAGGCAUGUGCCACCACAGCUGGGUAAUUUGGUUUUUGUUUUUGUUGUUGUUGUUGUUGUUGUUUGAGACACAGUCUCACACUCUCACCCAGGCUGGAGUGCAGUGGCGCCAUCUCAGCUCACUGCAAGCUCCGCCUCCCGGAUUCACACCAUUCUCCUGCCUCAGCCUCCCGAGUAGCUGGGACUACAGGCGCUCGCCACCACGCCCGGCUAAUUUUUUGUGUUUUUAGUAGAGACAGGGUUUCACCGUGUUAGCCAGGAUGGUCUCAAUCUGACCUUGUGAUCCGCCCGCCUCGGCCUCCCAAAGUGCUGGGAUUACAGGCGUGAGCCACCGCACCCGGCAGCCUUGGCUAACUUUUAAAAAAAUGUUUUUAGUAGAGAUGGGGUCUCACCAUAUUGGCUAGCCUAGUCUUAACUCCUGGGCUUCCACCUCAACCUCCCAAAGUGCUGGGAUUACAGGCAUGGGCCACCGCACCCGGCCCUUAGUUAAUUUCUGGACCAAGGAAUUGGAAUCUGGGGUCUUUUAGGAAACGACUGGGGAUUCAGCAACCUGCCAAAUUGAGCCUUGGAGCAGCCUCUGAGAUGUUAGCUGUGGAGGAGGAGGCCCCUGCUUCCUGGGGCCCAUCAUCCAUUCCCAAAAGUGCUGAGCAUUGCAGGCUCUUCAAGAGCUGCGGUCAACACCAGCUCCAGGCCUCGGGCUGGAAGCCUCUUCAGCAAGUGCCGCAGGGAGGCCCUGGGUGGGUGAGCCGGGAGGUGGAAUUGCGUAACAGCUCUGUAUCCAUUGCUGCGGUCAUUAGCCAUGGAGAGGGUGACGGGGGCUGUAACGGGGCAAGCCUCCCGGGUUCCAGCUGCCAUCCUCGCCCCUCUGGGCUCUUUCCUCCCUGGCUCUGCUAUAGCCGGAGCGGUUGCAGGGCACACAUUACUCGGUGCAGUCGGACAUCUGGAGCAUGGGCCUGUCCCUGGUGGAGCUGGCCGUCGGAAGGUACCCCAUCCCCCCGCCCGACGCCAAAGAGCUGGAGGCCAUCUUUGGCCGGCCCGUGGUCGACGGGGAAGAAGGAGAGCCUCACAGCAUCUCGCCUCGGCCGAGGCCCCCCGGGCGCCCCGUCAGCGGUCACGGGAUGGAUAGCCGGCCCGCCAUGGCCAUCUUUGAACUCCUGGACUAUAUUGUGAACGAGCCGCCUCCUAAGCUGCCCAACGGUGUGUUCACCCCCGACUUCCAGGAGUUUGUCAAUAAAUGGUAGGUGGAGCCGGGCUGCCCACACCCCUGGCCGGGACCCAGAUGUGCCACUCCUUCCGGGUCCUGGGUGGGGCCCGUGGCCCAGCCUGCCCAUCCAGAAUCCCAGUGCAGCGUCGGGCAGGACUCAGCCCAACGGGAAGCCAGAUUCCCUUUCCCAGAGCUGUGGGGCUGCAGCUCCCAGCUGCCAUGCCAUCCUGUCCCUGAGCCCAGGGGUGAGGCAGGAUUGCAGGCCCUGUGGACAUGACGGUGUCCCCGCCUCACUGUCUGCAGCAGGAGAAGCCUCUGUCUGGUCCCCGAACCCCUGGUGUGCUGACUGCAGGUUCCGGGAGGGUCGCCAGCCCCACUCCAUUCUUCUGCCCCCAAGCACCCAGCAGCACCUGUGGCGUGGGCCUCACAGGCAUGUGCCACAGACCACGGGGAAGGAUCUGCAGACACCCCGCUGCUCAUAGGGCCGGUCCGUGUGUGUGAGCUCGGGACGCCGUGGAAUGGCACCGCACUCCUGGUGCCGGAGUUGCCCUUGGCGUGCGCUCCGGCGAUGUUGCCCCGGGCCUGGGGUUUUAUUAGACAGUUAGCUGGGGUUGCGUCCAGGCUUCUGACCCACCAGGCGGGGUUUCCCACCCUCUUUCCCUCUCACCCUCCCCCCGGGAGGUGUCCUGCCCCUGGCACCAAAGUGCAGAGGUGGAUCCCUCGUCCUCUGCCAGGAGGCAGAGCAGAGCAGCCAGCUCUGUGCCACUCUCUCUGGUCGGAGAGAUCCAGGUCCCCUCCGACCACAGCCCAAACGCAGGUGCCCUGGGGCCACCAACUGACUGCCCUGUCUUGUCUCCCCCACCGCCUCCUGGUCCUGCCUCUUGGAACCCCCAGCCUCAUCAAGAACCCAGCGGAGCGGGCGGACCUGAAGAUGCUCACAAACCACACCUUCAUCAAGCGGUCCGAGGUGGAAGAAGUGGAUUUUGCUGGCUGGUUGUGUAAAACCCUGCGGCUGAACCAGCCCGGCACACCCACGCGCACCGCCGUGUGACAGUGGCCGGGCUCCCUGCGUCCCGCUGGUGACCUGCCCACCGUCCCUGUCCAUGCCCCGCCCUUCCAGCUGAGGACAGGCUGGCGCCUCCACCCACCCUCCUGCCUCACCCCUGCGGAGAGCACCGUGGCGGGGCGACAGCGCAUGCAGGAACGGGGGUCUCCUCUCCUGCCCGUCCUGGCCGGGGUGCCUCUGGGGACGGGCGACGCUGCUGUGUGUGGUCUCAGAGGCUCUGCUUUCUUAGGUUACAAAACAAAACAGGGAGAGAAAAAGC